CGCCAACGCGUCUGACAAACUCCAUACGGCAACUUAACCCUACAACAUACAAAAUGGCGAACCACAGGAAUACCAACACUCAACAAAACCCACAUAGCUUCCUGCUGKAUUCAACAAUAACUACAAGUCUUUGGGCACCCUCCAACUCGCUCCUCGCCCGAAGGCCACAAGUUCACUGGCCUCUCAAACUCCCUGUGAGGGUGCCCAAACACCCAUCAAGCCACCAGGUCUGGCCCCACAUGGUAGCAACCAAUUUUCGACUCACUAAAACUCCCUAUUUCUCCCUAUUCAUGGCCAAAAAAAACAACCCCAUUGCUGACCAUGAGUGCCCCUCUACACACUUCUUCGUGCAGAGAACCAUUGCUGCCUUCAUUAGGCUUAACGAUGCCUUCGGGCACCUCGUGGCUGAUCUCUUCCCUUCCCUUUCUUAUGGCGACGAGCGACUGAACUAACGAGCGAACGCACGAGCUAGAUACCAACCCUCUCAUUACAUGCGCACCCUAUGCUAAUUAUCUCUUCCACACUACUCUAUCGUAUACGCCAUUUGGGUUAGCACACUUCCACUUCCACUUCCAACCAACCUGCUGCUUACUUCCUUCCAAUACACACUGCUCUCCAGCCCAGAUUGCCUUGAUGCUCUUUGGUUAGGAGAGGAAAAGGACAAGGGUCUAAAGAGGUCAUCUUCUCUUGUUCUACUUGCAUGUUGAUCUCUUUCAAGUUUUUCCAGCAGUUCUUUUCCUGAGUGUAGCCUAAUAAAACAAACAAUGUGUAAGAUAUGUUCCAUCGAGCUGCUCUAAAAAUUGUGACACCGAGUCUUCAGUAUUUUCUGUUUGCAUGACGUUACUGGUUGUAGUUCCGGGUUGACUGUCCUUAACAUCACUGUUUUCUGAUACAAGAUCAUGCUUCUCUUGC